GUCAAGCUGGUUGGGAAAUUUCAGUGAGAGAGAGAGCAAUCAGGCAACAAACAAAAGCAGAAGUUUGGUUGUCAUGGAUGUAUUUUUAAUGCAUGUUCCAGGAGCCUUGCUUGUCUGAAGAUGUGCAGAGACAGACCUGUCUGGACAAGACAAAGGAGAUCACUAAGUGAUUCUACAGGGCACCGUGGAAGAUGAGCACGGCCUCCAUGCCCAGCAUCACCAGGGAGAACCCAGUGCAGAAGAGGGCCCAGCUCCGGUGCCACUGAGAUUUGGUUACAAGGUUCUUUUCCUCUCUGUUCUUGGAAUUUUAGAAAAGCAGACAAAUGUCUAGCAGAGUGUCCAACUUUCAUGUAUAUCCAUAAGAACCAAACUGGGGACUUUCAUCCAUUCAGCUUGAAGGAAAUAUCCCUGCCAAGUCACUAUCUCUACACUGAUCUUGUACUAGUAGUGUACAUGAAACCUGUUCAUGACUGAAUCUUUAAAGCCUGGCCAAAUGGUAUUUUUACAUGUCAAUGUGGAUCUAAUUACAUUUUCAAUAGACUGCAUCGUUAAUUGCAUGAAUAAUUGUUGUAAUUUAAGAUUAAAUACUGAUUUCAUUUCAAAAAUAAGGACAAAAUCUCUUUCUGUCUGUAGACUGGAUAGCAUUUUGCCCUGUUCAGGCAUAAGUUUAUUGCUGGCAUAUGGCACAUUUUAAAAUUAUUAUUGUUAUUAUUAUUAUUAUUAUGUGUGUAAUAAUCUGAACUGGAAAUAACUGUAAUAACCUACACUCGAAGUAACCUGUUUUUGUUAGUUUGAUGGAUAGGUUAUUCCACUGUCAGGAAUUAAACAGAGAUAUUGCAAUGUUAGCUUCAUAUACAUUUUCCUGGUAUCAUCAAGGCCAUGUCUGGAGAGAAAAAUUGUGUUUGUAUAGAGAUGGUAAGUGGAGCAGUUCAUACUCUUAGUUAUGUUGUGCCCUCUGGCAAGCCUGCCAGGAGAGUGCUGUGCUUGUUUUCUGAUGAGAAACCUCCUCCACAUUCCAGCCUGAGCGUAUCUAUUGUUUUCAGAUGCAAACAGAUGUGUUCCUUACCUAAGGGAAGCUCUCAAAAAUAUGGAAGUAAAACAGAAGAAACUGAUGUGAAACUACAACAGUAUUUGACCUGUCUGCAUGCAUUAAUAAUCUCAACUUUAGCUGAAGGCAGAAGUCUGUUAUAUUCAGUUCUGUUUAUUUGCUUAGUUUCUGCCCUACAGUGCAUAAGAGCAAUGGAAGAUAUGAGUAUUAACUUCAUGCUUUUAAUUUGAAUUAGCAUUUUGUUAAAUGUGUAUGUGUUUAUUAUAUCAUUCCUAAUUGUUGAAGGCCAGAUAGUUCAGAUUUGUGGAGCUGGUGAAAGAAGGGUAAACAUUUAUAUUCUUUAUUCUAACAAACCACCUUGCAUUUCUCAGGCCAAAAUUACAGAACUUCUGUUGACCAUACUAUAUAUCCAUAAUAGCUCUUCCUAAUAGUUCUCAUAUAGUGAAUGAAUUUUAUUUUGGUGCAUCUCUGCUGAAGGAUAACAACGCAUUUAUUCAUCAACUCUUGAAGGUUUUUUUUGUCUGUUUGUUUGAGAUUUUUAAUUCUAUUACUUUUCUAUCUGCCGUGGACUGACCUGUCUUUUCUAGCCUUCAAACUGAUGCCUGGAGGAUGUUCAGACACUUGUUACACUUCGGAUGUCUGUAGGAGGUGAAGCGACAACCCACAAGUGGGUCAGGGCUGCAGCUCCUUCAUGAACGCAAACGUGCAGAAGCUUGUGGGCGUGCACCUUAUCAUAUCUAUGUCUCAGCUACAGCAAAGACUAUAUGAAGAAAUCACAAAGUGCUAGUGUUGAGUACCUACUACUAGUAUUCAGAAAAAGUAGCGUGUGUUGGAGGACAGCAGGAUGAGGGUGUGAGCAAAGAGAGAAAGGAAGUGUUCAGCACGUAUAAGUGCAGAGAUGGUGAAGAAUUACUGAGAUGAGGUGCAGUAAGCCAACAACUCAUCUGCAGUACCUCAUCUGCACAGCAGCACGUCACAGUAUGACAUUGUCUGACCAGCAGCUCUCCAGCACAUAAUGCUGUGCUGUAUUGUGCCAGAGUAUAGAUAGAUGUCCUGGAUUAGAGAAUUCUCUACAAGGUUACUUUCGUCCCACAACAAUUUGCAAAACUAGAAGCUAGGAUGCCACAAACCUUAUUUAAAAGCAAAGACAUCUCAGAUAAAAAAGAACUGUAUAUUCUUGCAAAUAAGAAUUUCUGAAAUGAAAGUUUUCAUGGGCUAGGAUUUAGUGACUUUCAUGCUGAUAUUUGAAACUGUCGGGCCUCCAUGAAGAACAGUCAUGAAUUUCUUCUAGAUUUUCUAAAAGAUUUUGACAUCAGACCCUGUGAUUGGAAAAAGUAUUAUUGAGGCAGCCAUUAGCUUGAUGUCUCCAGUAAUACAGACCCAGUUUUCAAAAACAGCAUUUCAAAAUGAAAAUAACUCCUCAAUGCAUUCUCUGCAUGCUGAUUGACCUUUUUCGGAGAAUCAUGGAAUCUCUUAGCUUAAAGACCAUCUAGUUCCAAUCUCUCUGUAGGGGAAGGAUUGCCAUCCACCAGAUCAGGAUUCCCAGGGCUGCAUCCAACCCAGCCUUGAAUGCCUCCAGGAAUUAAAUAGGCUCUUGUUAACACUCUCCUUCACUUCUCUAUGGACAUCUCUUUGUUUCUACCUAUGUCUGGGCCCUGUCCUACAGCAGAAUCAUUAGUGAGGCUCAGCAGGGAAAAAUCUAUAGACUCUCAUCACUGGAGAGUAUCUACCUAAAGAAAAAAAUAAAUGGCAUAAAAUCAGAAUUCUGGGGUGCUGGAAUUUACCUCCAGAAGCACAGAAAAAGCCAAAUCUGGGAAAUUUCAUGUUCAUCCUUUCCUGCAGGAAUGACCGAAGCCAACUGUUUGACCAGCUGUGUGUGGUCUCUCUUGCUUAAACAAGCAUUUUUAUUCAGAACUACAGAUUUAUGUGACAAAAUGUGAUGCCAUCUUCUUGUUGUAGGUAGUCAAUGACAGUAGCACCAUUCAAGAGCGACAGUAAAUGAUACUGGUUUAGUUCUUUCUAAUUAUGCUUUCCAAACGAUCCUGAGAAAUGUUUGAGUAAGGGCUUAAACUACUGUGGAGGAGAUCCCAUACACAAAACCCUCCAAGGUACUUUUGAUGUAGAGGUUUUGUCCAAAGGAAGGGCAGCAGAAUGUAUCACUUUUUCACUUUGCCUAAGCCUUGAUAGUAGAAAUUUAGUGUGCCAUUGGCUCCAUUAUUUUAUACUGCAUAAAUUGCGUGUAUUGUACAAAACUAUAUAAACCCAGAUAUAUUUUAUUUAUUUAUUUUUAAAUUUAAGGGUAUCAAACUGUCAGACUGGAAGCUGCUGUGUUUCCUCAAUCCUGGAAUGAUGAAACUGUAGUGCUUCAAAGAGAAAAGAACAAGAAUUUAAAAAAAACGAUAUGGCAAAAAUAAUGGAAGCAUUCAAAGAAACACUUGCUUAGAAUAUGGAAAUUGACUUUUCUUAAGUAAUCUCAAUUCCAAAUAAUUCAGUUUUAACAUCAAAGAGCAAGUAAUGUUUCAGAUUUUAAAGUCAAUGAGAAAUAGUUUGAAAUGAAAUAUAAACUAGAACUAUCUGCAGCAAAAUGAUAAUAACUAGUUCAAGACUCUUUUAGAAGAAGAAUUUAAGCAGCCUCAUUCAGAAGUAAACUAUAAAGUUUAUUUUUUUCACAGAGCAAACAAAAGUUCCUGUAGAAAUUCUCAAGAAUUAUAAAUAUCAUUAUAGACAACUAUCUUUGUUCUAUCAUGAUAGACUGCUAUCUUUGUUCUCUAUUUGUUAUUUCUGAGUGUGCAGCAUUUUUAAACCUUGGUUUUCAUGCUACGGCAAUGUGAUUCAUAUCUUGUGGCUAAAAUGAUUGUCUUUUCUUUCCAAAAUUUCUGUUGUGAGAAGACAUCUGUUGAAAUGAAGAUAGCUUGUGGAUGAAAUAUGUAAAUUACAGCCUCCACCGGUAAGAGGAGGUGACAUCACAAGACAUGUGACAACAUUCUUCACACUGUUGCAGUAGAAUAGACACAUAACCCACUGUAUAUGAGGAAACAUUUUUUCUACUUUGAAAAAAAGCUUGCAUGUGAUGCUUGCAUGUGAUGAUGAUUUGCAUAAUGUCCAUGUUUUAGAUAUAUAUGUUACUCUUGUUGCAGAUUCAACUGUCAUUUGAAAUGAUAUAAUCACAGCUACUACUCCUCCGUAAAAUCUAUCAUUUCUAUUACAUAGAACAAAGACUCCUUUCUAUAGCAAGAAACUUGUUCAGUGUGAAAUCCAGCUUUAAGUCAUAAGAGCAAAGGGUUUUUCGUAUUCAAAUGUAGUUUAUUGGGCUGUAAUGGGAACUGUAUGACAUGUUAGAACAAGAGUACUCAUUACAGGAGCUAUGUACUGCUGAUGGCAUCUCCCAAGCUUCGAAGAGCAUUUAUGUAGCUAGACUGUAAAUCCAUAUUUUUGCACCUCUGUUCUUCUCUAUCCUCUUUCUCAGCUGAGGACAACUUUCAGAAAGAGCAGAUCUCCAUCCUUUCUGCUAACUGCUCCAUAAUGUCCACCAAAUACCCACCUUAUACUCCUCACUCCUUGAUAGCUUGGGAGAUUCUAUUAGAUUCUCACCAAAUAGGAUCAUUACCUCAUCUAUUUUUAACCUCAUAUAUUUCUAGUCUCAUAUUUCUAACCAUAAAACAGCCCAGUCCUGCACAAGUGCCCAGAGCAAGUACUGCAGGAAUCUACAGGUUGCCACACUGUGGGAGGUGCACAGCUGUUUCUGAUGUUGUAUAUGUGUAAAAUUUGUUUUGUUUGCUACUGAUAAAACACCAGUCUUCCUGUGGAAAUGGUGUUCGCACUACAGAGUGGAUUCAGAUGAGCUUCCUGGAAUCAUUCUGUGACUGAGACAGUUCUGUCAUUUUGUUUUGUAACAUGGAAGGAAACAUCCACAAAGUUCUGGUGUGAGAAUUUUUGCGUGAAAUACUGUUAUGUUGCUACAGACAGGCAAAACUUUCACUUGUGAUGAUUUUGUAAUUCAGGCUGCCAUAAGCCGACUACUGUGCUCUUGUAUCUCCUCAGUAACUUAAAAAUGUUUGUGUUUAAUGCACAUAGUAUAAAAGUAUUAAUACUCAUUUCUCUCAUUUUUAGCAAUAGCUUCAGAAAGUUUUUUUUUAAAAAAAACCUUUUCGUUUGUCAUCAUGGGCUCCUCAAACAGCUGCUAUUACUUUCUCAGUUAAGGGCUGUGCCAGGCUUUUGGAUGAAUCAGAAACAGCAUCAAAAUGCCUCUAUUUUCUAAUUCAGUCCCGAUUUUUGGUUACCAGAAAAAUUUUGCCUGGCAAUUGCUACCACAUAAGAAAUAGGUUACAUUUCAGUCCUGCUUCCAGCACAUAAACAACGCAGUACAUCACUGACAGAAUGAGAGAGAAAAUGAUCCCUCCGAGGUUUUUUAGCUGUCACGUCACCAGGCAAAUGUGGAAGAACGGGGAAGAAUGAGUCGUCUUUUCACUCAUAAAAAUUGCAAGCAGAUCACCGUGUAGGAGCUUGUACUUCUAUCUCCCUAACACCUGUUUUAUAGAAAAAGAGAAGGCCCCAACUUCACUACUGUCAAGACUCCACUGCAGGUAUGCACUCCCACCUACCUGAAAGCCUGUCUGCAGUUAUGCUGAAGAGGGUUCUCAACCUGAGCAAAGAGAAAACUAGAAGUUCCUUAUAGAAUGCCCACAUAGCUAUAAUGCUUCAUACCAGAUUUUUUAUUCUGUGUACACAUAUGGUCUUUAGUGACAUAUAUUGUUUCCUAGCUCUUAUUGGGUGCUUUAUUUAAAUAGCUCAGAUAAAAGCCAAUAGCAUGGUUGUCAUGUGAAAGAUUAAAAAGCAUAAUGAAUUGCUUUAGGAUUAUUAAUUGUUCCAGUGAAACCUGUCUGUUGUGGUUUUGAUAUGUUUAGCUGCAUUGGGGAAAGCACUGCGUGCUCAGACAGAUGAUGAUGGGAGGAAGAGCUCUGCUUCACUGCAGUGUUUACAGCUGGCAAAAACAUGACAAAUUUUCUGGUAUCAUAUGCCUCUAUUGGCUGUAGGCUAUUCAAGCUGUAUUAAAUAAUUAUUUUACUUAUUUAAUCAAAAGGCUUAUAAAGAAUGAGAAAAUUGUUUCUUGCAA